UAACCUCUCUGGUUCUGGUCCUAGUCAGGUGUGACUGCAGAUACCACAUCGCUGUAGGGUCCGUAGCGGCCAUAAAUGUCUUUUCCCACCACAGCAACACACAGCUUGUGCCCUGCGUUGUAUUUGGUGAUGGACACGCACAUGGGCAGAGGUUUCGCAGCCACCGUGCCCAACGUUCUCCAAGCUGGGAAGACUCUGCUUCCCUUGACUUUUUCCAUCGUCAGCAGGAUACUGGAAUGUGGCGAGAGAGAGAGAGAGACAACGAGACAAAGCAAAUCUCUCCAUCUGUGGCAGUGAGGUUUCCUUCUCAUCCCCAUUCCACAUCACCGACAGGCUGGGAGGCUGCUUGAUGAGAGCCAAGUGGACACUCACUUUUUCGGGGAUGUUGUAGGACGCAGCCUCCAUGUUCAGGACGGAGGGGAAAGGAUUCAACGGCAGGGUCGGAUACGGAGGAUCGUCCUUCGGCGUGGAAAAUCAAACAAGCCGGGCCAAUAUCUGAAUAAUCGCGGUGAAGAUGAAUCUCUCUCCUUGCUUGAGCCUGAAGAGCUGAAGAAUGAAGACGAAGAAGCUGAUGCAGCAUAAAAUGGUGGCCAGGAUCAUGGUGGCCUGGACUGUCUGCAGGUAGGCUGGAGAGAGAGAGAGAGAGAGCGAGAGUCGGUUUGACAUUAUUAUCCCCGCGUCACAUCCGUACACCGUUCCUCACCUGCAUCAGGCGUAUGGCUCUUCUCCACGGGGUAGCAGGUGGCAUUGCAGGAGUACCACAAAUCCGAGUAGAUCACAUCCUGUCCGGGCGGAGACACCACCCACCAUGCCUGGAGCACAAACAUUCUCUCUUGAGGGUUUGUUUCCAGUGUUGUCAAAACAAUAAGCAGUGAUCUGUACGUGCGGGACGGUGCUCACGUUGUGUAUGGUUGCAACAAAGAGCAGGACGGCCGCAGCCACGUGGAAUAGGAUGAUGAGGAGUAA